rnacentral:rRNA from 1 species
UGGCGGACGGGUGAGUAAUGUCUGGGAAACUGCCUGAUGUAGGGGGAUAACUACUGGAAACGGUAGCUAAUACCGCAUAACGUCGCAAGACCAAAGAGGGGGACCUUCGGGCCUCUUGCCAUCGGAUGUGCCCAGAUGGGAUUAGCUAGUAGGUGGGGUAACGGCUCACCUAGGCGACGAUCCCUAGCUGGUCUGAGAGGAUGACCAGCCACACUGGAACUGAGACACGGUCCAGACUCCUACGGGAGGCAGCAUG